GGGGCAGCUUUCAGCCGCCGUACACGCGGAGCUCGGCGGCCGCCGCGGCUCAGCGCUCUAUUGUUCCGCGGCACCGGAGACCGGUCUCCUACGCUGAAGGUGUUCAGAGCGGCAAGCAGCUGAGAGCAGAGCGACAGCGGGGAAGGCGAGGACAAACCGCCCAGGCUGCCUCCUGUCACCAAGGAACCCGGCUCAGAAGGACAAAAAAGCGCCUGACAUCUGCUUUUUCCUUAUCUUUCUUCUCUGUGUUGACUCAGUGUUUUGCGUGGAUUUAAACGCCUUUGAGAGUCAUGCCGUUCUGCGGCACGGAGUCGGGCUCCUUUCACGCCCUCUGGGGCACGGUCCCCUGUCUGUGGAGAAUAGUGCUUCUCUUUUGUGGUGCCUGGGAUGUUCUGGCACAAACUGCGGGGGAAACAAAGUCAGUAUAUACCUGGAAAACAGGGCCCUGGGGCAGAUGCAUGGCCAGUGACUGUGGCCCCGGGGGCCGGCAGAGCCGGGCGGUGUGGUGCACCCACGUGGACGGCUGGACCACGCUGCACACCAACUGCCCACAGGAGCUGCGGCCUGAAAGCCAGCAGAGUUGCUUCCGUGUCUGCGACUGGCACAGGGAGCUGUAUGAUUGGCAGCUGGGCCCUUGGAACAGCUGCGUACCAGUGGCCCUCCGCUCCACAGCGGGGCGCUGGUCAGCCGAGUGCUCCGGCGGCGGGGAAGGCAUCCAGACCCGGGAGGUGGCUUGCGUUCACACGGCCGACGGGGCCCCGGCGGAGGAUGCCAUCUGCGAGUAUUUUGAGCCCAGACCGCGGCUCGAGCAGGCGUGCCUCAUUCCUUGUCCCCGGGACUGUGUAGUGUCUGAGUUCUCCCCCUGGACCACCUGCACCAAGACCUGUGGCGGCAGCCUGCAGCGGCGCGUCCGCGGAGUUCUGGCACCUCCUCUCUUCGGCGGCCUGCCGUGCCCCAACCUGACAGAGUUCCGCGCCUGCCAGCUCCCGGCGUGCCGGGCCCCCGAGGGCCAGUACAGCCUGAAGGUCGGUCCGUGGGGCCCCUGCACACUGCCGCACUCCCGCCCCGCACGGCAGACCGGGCGCAGGAAAAGCAAGGAGAGGAACCACGGGAGGGGGGUGGAACGAGACCCGGACGCCCGGGAGCUCGUUAAGAAAAAGCGGAACCGGAACCGGCAGAACCGGCAGGAGAGCGACCUGUGGGAGGUGCAGGUGGGGUACCAGAGCAGACAGGUGAUGUGCAGCCACAGGACCGGCAAGACUGCUGCCCUCAGCCUCUGUGACCAGGACCAGAUUCCAGUGACCUUCCAGUCCUGUGUCAUGGCCAUGGACUGUGUGGUGGGUGACUGGACCCAGUGGGGCUCCUGCUCGAAGGACUGCCACGACCCCAACACCCCCGAGGGCCUGCGGACCCGCACCAGGCCCGUGCAGAAGCUACCCGUGGGGGGAGGAGCAGAGUGUCCCCCACUGGAGGAGUCUGAGCACUGCUCCCCCCCAGUAGAAGAGGUCCUGCCCUGUGCUGCCUACACCUGGAAGACCACGGAGUGGAGUGAGUGCAAGGUGGACGUGUUGCUAAGUCAACAGGACAGACGCCGUGGCAACCAGACCAGCCUGUGUGGGGGCGGGCUGCAGAGCCGGGAAGCCUAUUGUGUCCAGAGCAACGCAGAGCUGCUUGCCUACCUCAACAACCUCAAGGACAAGGAAGGCAGUCGGUCUGAAGAUGAACAGAAGCCAACUUCUCCUCCAUUCCUUUCCAUUACAUUUGAAAUUACAGCUGCUCGUCCGGUGGAUAACAAACUGUGCAUGGGGUCCGUCCCGAACACGACUCAGCAGUGCCACAUCGCCUGUCCCGUGGAGUGCGGGGUCUCUUCCUGGGCGGCGUGGGGGCUGUGCACCUCUGAGAACUGCGAGGACCUGGCUGGGAAAAAGGGGCUCAAGAUGAGGAAACGCGUGAUUGUCAGUGAGCCAGCGGGCGGGAUGGAGAGCUGUCCACACCUGGGGGAGGCGAUACCGUGCGACGAGCCGACCUGCUACAGCUGGCAGCUGGUGGAGCUGGAGGACUGUGUCCCGAGCGGCGAGCGAGAGUGCGGCCCCGGAACACAGCUCCCGCAGGUCCAGUGCGGUGACAGUGACGGUAACGUGGUGCACCGUCAGCUCUGUGAGGGAACCUCCUACCCGCAGCCCGUGCCCUGCGAGCUGCCCUGUCCCACAGACUGCGUCCUCAGCCCCUGGACGUCAUGGUCCUCAUGCUCCCACACGUGCUCAGGCAGAGCUGUGGAGGGCAAGCAGAUGAGAGCUCGUGCCAUUCUGGCUUACAGUGUUGGAGAAGAGGGGGCUCCUUGCCCCAAUGCCAGCUCCCUGCAGGAAGUGCGGAGCUGCAACGCCCAUCCCUGCACGGUCUACCACUGGCAGACGGGCCUCUGGGGCCAGUGCACUGAGGACGCGUCCGCCUCAGUGUCCAACGGCACCAGCUGGAGCGGCGACACCGCGUGCGGCAUCGGCAUCGGCGUACAGGCCCGCAAGGUCAUCUGCGUCCGGGUCAACGUGGGCCAGGUGCCUCCCAAGAAGUGCCCCGAAAGCCUCCGCCCUGACUCAGUGCGGCCGUGCUCACUUCCUUGCAAACGGGACUGUAUAGCUACCGGCUUCAGCGACUGGACCCCGUGUCCAUCCACCUGCCCAGAAGGUGCAAGUGUGACGGUGAAGCAGUCUCGGAAUCGCAUCAUUAUUCAGUGGCCAACCAAUGGGGGCCAAGACUGUCCUGAAGUGCUUUAUGAGGAAAGGACGUGUGACGCCCCAACUGUCUGUCAGGAAUACAGGUGGAAGACUCACAAGUGGCGUCGCUGCCAGCUGGUCCCUUGGUACAUUCGCCAGGACAGCCCAGGUGCCCAGGAGAGCUGUGGGCCGGGCAUUCAGAUGAGAGCCGUCUCGUGUCGGGGGCAGGAGGGCGGGGCGGCCGACAUCGCGGAAUGCAUGAAGUCCGCCGGCCCCAUGCCAGGCGUCACGCAGACCUGCCAGCACCCGUGUCAGGACCACUGUCAGCUCACCAGCUGGUCCAAGUUCUCGCACUGUACUGCAGACUGCGUGGGCGGGAGGACGCGGAAACGGGUCCUCAUAGGGAAGAGCAAGAAGAGGGAGCAGUGCCGGAACCCGCAGACGUACCCCCUGAGUGAGACUCAGUACUGCCCCUGCAACAAGUACAGCGCCCUGCCUGUGGGCAACUGGUCAGACUGCAUCCUCCCGGAAGGCCGACUGGAGGGCGUACUGGGAAUGAAGGUGCAGGGAGACAUAAAGGAGUGUGGUCAGGGAUACCGCUACCAGGCUGUCAUGUGCUAUGACCAGAACGAACGUCCUGUGGAAACAUCACGCUGCAACAGUCAUGGGUAUAUCGAGGAGGCGUGCAUCAUCGCCUGCCCCUCAGACUGCAAGCUCAGCGAGUGGUCCAGCUGGUCUCGCUGCAGCAAGUCCUGUGGCAGCGGAGUCAAGGUCCGGUCCAAAUGGCUGCGAGAGAAGCCGUACAACGGUGGGCGUCCGUGUCCCAAACUGGACCACAUCAACCAGGCACAGGUGUAUGAAGUGAUUCCCUGUGUCAGUGACUGCAGUCAGUACAUGUGGGUGGCUGAGCCCUGGAGCACCUGGAAGAUCAGCAGUGUAGAGCAGAAGAACUGCGGCGAGGGGGCUCGCACCCGGAAAGUCCGGUGCAUGCAGAACACCAGUGAUGGGCCGUCUGAGGUGGUGGAGGAGUACUUGUGUGACCCUGAGGAGAUGCCGGCUGGCACUGAGCACGGCCACCUGCCCUGUCCCGAGGACUGCGUCCUGUCCGACUGGGGGCCCUGGGGUCGCUGCAUCUUGCCAUGCAAUGGGUACAACAGGAGGGAGCGGACGGCACGCGUGCUGAGGCUGCCGGAAGCAGGGAGACAGUGUCCAAACGCGACCCAGACUGAGGCCUGCGCCCUGAACAUCAACUGCUACUACUUUAUCUAUAACAUCACAGACUGGAGCACCUGUCAGCUGAGCGCGAUGGCCGCAUGCGGCAGCGGCAUCAGGACGCGCAUGCUGGACUGCGUGCGCAGCGAUGGCAAGUCCGUCGACCUGAAAUACUGCGCGGAGCUUGGUCUGGAGAAGAAGUGGCAGCUUAAUGCUUCUUGCGUGGUGGAAUGCCCCAUUAACUGCCAGCUCUCUGACUGGUCGCCCUGGUCGGAAUGCUCGGAGACCUGUGGACUUACAGGAAAGAUGUGGAGGCGGCGUGGCGUGACGCAGCCGUCCCGGAGCGACGGGCGGCCGUGUCCCCCGCAGAUGGAGCAGUGGCAGCCUUGUCCCGCCCGGCCAUGCUUCCGGUGGCAGUACAGCUCGUGGUCUCCCUGCAGGGUGGAGGAUGCGGACUGUGGGGAGGGCCUCCGUAUCCGCAAUGCGUCCUGCAUGGUGUCGGACGGCCUGGGGGGCGAGGAGGAGAGCGUGGUGGAGGAGGAGCUCUGCGCCGACCUGGAGCCGUCUGCAGACGGAGACGAGCGCGUCGCCCUGACGGAGGCCUGCACACUGCCCUGCCCGGGUCUGAAAGUUCGUAAGCUGAAAGUUCGGGACUGCUACUUAACGGAGUGGAGCGCUUGGAGCCCCUGUCAGAGCAACUGCAUUAAAGGGCUGGAGCAGGGCUUCGGCUCGGCCCAGGUGCGGUCCCAGUCCGUCAUGGCCCAGGAGCCUGAGAACCUGCUGCAGUGUCCCGAACAGGUGUGGGAGUCCCGGCCGUGUGCAGAUGGACUGUGUUACAAAUUUGAGUGGAUGACCGGAAAGUGGACGGGUUCCUCUCGACUCGUGUGGUGCCAGCGUUCCGAUGGAUUAAACGUGACGGGAGGGUGUCCAAUCAGCAGCCAGCCAGCGUCUGAGAGGUCAUGUGACCCACCAUGUGACAAGCCACAGACGUACUGCACUGAGGCAGGCCUGUGCGCUUGUGAGGAGGGCUACACAGAGGUCAUGAGGUCCGAUGGCGUUCUGGACCAGUGCAUGCUCAUCCCUGUGUUGGAGGUCGAGAAAGCUGAUGUCAAGACUAGCUGGGCGACACACCCCACCCAGGCCACUGCUGGACACCCAGGGAGUUUUGACCACCACUGGUUCUUGCAGCCUUUUGGACCAGAUGGGCUCUUGAAGACAUGGGUGUAUGCAGCAGCAGCGGGGGCCCUGGUGCUGCUCAUUUUUAUAGCCUCUAUGAUCUAUGUCGCCUGCAGCGGUUACUAUGCAAGCCGCCGCUCAGCCUCAGCCCCGGACCCCAGCUCGGUGUGGGGGGGCCAGAGCAUCCACGAGUUGACCUUCAUGUGCCCAGAUCGCCAGGAGCCCAGCGAGCCUGUCAGUUACAGGGUGUGGCCUAGCUACAGGUGCUGACCCUGUGACUCCCCCCCCCUCCCCCAUGUCGCAUACCCCGUUUGGCCAGCUACACGGAGUUGCUGGUGCAGCAAAAAGCCAAAGAAAUCCCAGAAAAGACAAAACAACAGACUGAAACCGCUGACUCUGGCCUACGACGGCGAUGCUGACAUGUAGGAGGGCAGUUGGAGGUGAACCUCAUCCUCGUUCUGUUACCACCUACUAUGGCAGAUUCACUUUUAAAACUGGGAAGGCAAACAUAAUGCUCAUUUUGGGAAAGUGAUAUCAAAGGAGAAUUAGAAGUAGAAGAGAAUGACUCAGUCCUUCACUCCUUGUUUGUUUGCUUGUUUAUUUAAAAUAAUACUUAUAAGACACAGAGACUAAAGCAAAUCUUGCCUUUGCAUUUCUCUGCUUUCCAUUUAAAUAUUUCCGUGAGAGUAGCCGCUGCUGGUGGCAAUGUGUGGCACCACACCGCUGAUGGAUGAGGAGGGACAUUUUUUCCAUGUAAACUAUUCCUGCAUGGGGAGGGGGAGGGGGGGCUCAGUGGUUGCUGGAAUCUUUGAUGUUUCUCGAUUUAAAAUGCAGAAUUUACACAUUCAACGCUAGCUCUUCUCUAUUUCGUGCACAAUAAUGCACUAUAUUAGUGCAGCAAGAUAUGCAGUCCUAUUCAGUAGAUAUUAAAAAUGCACAUUAUUCCUACCGUUGUCACUUCAGUUUAGUACAUUAAUGGAAAAUGACAGUUCAGUUGUGCAAAAUGGUGGGAUGGGAAGAAAUGUAAAAAUGUGUACAUAACUAUAUAUAUAUAUACAUAUAUGUAUAUAUUCAUUUUUGUUAUUGUAACAUUUUUUAAGUUAUUUUUUUGGAACUAGAAGUCUCUUUUUUUCAGCCCAAAUUACUUUGUGUGGUUUCAGCACUGUAUGCUUGUUCUGUUAUAUUGAGGGCUCUGUGCAUUUGUUUAUUGCUUGUUUGUCUGUUUUGUUUUUGACAGCUGGGUUUUGUAAUUCCACAUUUAGGUGGAGUCUUUUCCAGGUGAUCCCAAACUAAUUUCAAGGUUUCGUCUUGUGCCAGUAUCUUCUUCAACAGCCAAUAGCACCAUUGUUGAUGUGUUUUCUUUUGACAGAACGUUCAAAACAGAUGUCACACAAGUUAAGGCCCCAGGCCAAAUUUACAUGUAAGCUUAAAAGCCUCUCACAGUAUUUAAGAGUGUAAGACUGUAAGACAUUACAAAAGAUGUGUGACUUUAACUUGGCUGUGAUGAGUGUAGUUCUACCUGAAACCAUAUAAUAUGGACAGUGACCUGACUCUGUCCUCAUGUGAAACGAUUCAACCAAAAUAAGAUUUUAUAUGUAUUUAGUUCCACUGAAUGAUGUAAAUAAAAUUGAAUAAAAUUACAAAUGGAUAAAAUGUUAAACCAUUUGAUAGCAUGACUGUCUUAGGUAAUUUUCAGUUUUAAGUAUUAUCUUUUCAAAUAUUUAUAUAACUGUAUUUACCAACUCAAACAUAUACUAAAAAAGAUAAUUUGCAUAAAUAAAAACAAGUUCUCAGGAUUAAAGCUUAUACACAGAAAAAUCUUCUUCUGAGUUGGUUUCAUGACACAUGCAUUAUUUAUAUACUUUACAUAAGUUGAAAAGCACUGUUUUGUUUGCUUACCACACAAGCAGAUAUGCUGUUUAAUUACAGAAAGGUUGGGUCUUAACCCAAGCUCACACACUGUCCUGGCUUAUGGAUCCAUGGCACUUCUGGUGGGUCAGCUCCUGUAGGACGUUGGUUCUGCACAGAUUCUGUCCGAGCCUAUCUGCUGAUGGUGAACAUCCCAGGCUGGCUAAAAUGCUAAAAUGCAUGAUUCUGCCAUUUUCCUCAAAGUCAAAGCUACUCAGCAUUUUAGAAGUACAAGGAGUUUGGAUCUAAAAAAACAUUUUUAGUUAGCUGUUUUUUUUUUGUUUGUUUUUCAGUGAUGUGAAUUUGCAAGCAGUAUUUUUAACUAUAUAAAUAUUUGUUUUCUGUUACGCAGAACCCUUGAGCUUGUUGGCUUGAUGUUACUGAUUUCCAUGCUGAUGACUCAUAAUACAUGUGAAAACAAGGAGGUGUGUUGAGUGUUGUUUACAUAUGUAUU